CCUACGGGCGGCAGCAGUGGGGAAUAUUGGGCAAUGGCCGCAAGUCUGACCCAGCAACGCCGCGUGAAGGACGAAGGCUUUCGGGUUGUAAACUUCUUUUAAGGGGGAAGAGCAGAAGACGGUACCCCUUGAAUAAGCCACGGCUAACUACGGGCCAGAAGCCGCGGUAUUACGACGGUGGCAAGCGUUGUCCGGAUUUACUGGGUGUAAAGGGAGCGUAGACGGUGCAGAGAGUCUGGUGUGAAAGGUCGGGGACCAAACCCGGGACUGAAUUUGAAACUGUUGAACUGGAGUACAGGAGAGGUAAGCGGAAUGCGUGGUGUAGCGGUGAAAUGCAUAGAUAUUAGGAGGAACACCAGUGGCGAAGGCGGCUUACUGGACUGUAACUGACGUUGAGGCUCGAAAGCGUGGGGAGCAAACAGGAUUAGAUACCCCGGUAGUC
rnacentral:rRNA from 1 species